AUUAGAUACCCUGGGUAGUCCACGCAGUAAACGAUGAAUGCUUGCUGUCCGGGGGGACUGACCCCUGGGGGGCGCAGCGAAAGCGAUAAGCAUUCCACCUGGGGAGUACGCCGGCAACGGUGAAACUCAAAGGAAUUGACGGGGGCCCGCACAAGCGGAGGAACAUGUGGUUUAAUUCGAUGAUACGCGAGGAACCUUACCCGGGCUCAAACGGGAGAUGACUCGGCCAGAGACGGCCGUUUCCGCAAGGACAUCUUCCGAGGUGCUGCAUGGUUGUCGUCAGCUCGUGCCGUGAGGUGUCGGCUUAAGUGCCAUAACGAGCGCAACCCCCGCGGGCAGUUGCUAACAGGUCAAGCUGAGGACUCUGCCCGGACUGCCGGCGCAAGCCGUGAGGAAGGCGGGGAUGACGUCAAAUCAGCACGGCCCUUACGUCCGGGGCGACACACGUGUUACAAUGGCAGGCACAGAGAGAAGCGACAUGGCGACAUGAAGCGGAACUGUCAAAACCUGUCUCAGUGCGGAUUGGAGUCUGCAACCCGACUCCAUGAAGCUGGAUUCGCUAGUAAUCGCGCAUCAGCCACGGCGCGGUGAAUACGUUCCCGGGCCUUGUACACACCGCCCGUCAAGCCAUGGAAGCCGGGAGUGCCUGAAGUGUGCAACCGCAAGGAGCGCCCUAAGGUAAAACCGGUGACUGGGGCUAAGUCGUAACAAGGUAAC
rnacentral:rRNA from 1 species